GACGAACGCUGGCGGCGUGCUUAACACAUGCAAGUCGUACGGUAAGGCCCUUUCGGGGGUCCACGAGUGGCGAACGAGUGAGUAACACGUGAGUAACCUGCCCACAACUUUGGGAUAACGCUAGGAAACUGGUGCUAAUACUGGAUAUGUGCUCCUGCUGCAUGGUGGGGGUUGGAAAGCUCCGGCGGUUGUGGAUGGACUCGCGGCCUAUCAGCUUGUUGGUGGGGUAGUGGCCUACCAAGGCGGCGACGGGUAGCCGGCCUGAGAGGGUGACCGGCCACAUUGGGACUGAGAUACGGCCCAGACUCCUACGGGAGGCAGCAGUGGGGAAUAUUGCACAAGGGGCGCAAGCCUGAUGCAGCAACGCCGCGGGCGGGAUGACGGCCUUCGGGUUGGAAACCGCUUUCAGCAGGGACGAAGCUUUUUGUGACGGUACCUGCAGAAGAAGCACCGGCUAACUACGUG
rnacentral:rRNA from 1 species